GAUGAACGCUGGCGGCGUGCCUAAUACAUGCAAGUCGAGCGAACAGACGAGGAGCUUGCUCCACUGACGUUAGCGGCGGACGGGUGAGUAACACGUGGAUCACCUACCUAUAAGACUGGGAUAACUUCGGGAAACCGGAGCUAAUACCGGAUAAUAUAUUGAACCGCAUGGUUCAAUAGUGAAAGACGGUUUUGCUGUCACUUAUAGAUGGAUCCGCGCCGCAUUAGCUAGUUGGUAAGGUAACGGCUUACCAAGGCGACGAUGCGUAGCCGACCUGAGAGGGUGAUCGGCCACACUGGAACUGAGACACGGUCCAGACUCCUACGGGAGGCAGCAGUAGGGAAUCUUCCGCAAUGGGCGAAAGCCUGACGGAGCAACGCCGCGUGAGUGAUGAAGGUCUUCGGAUCGUAAAACUCUGUUAUUAGGGAAGAACAAAUGUGUAAGUAACUAUGCACGUCUUGACGGUACCUAAUCAGAAAGCCACGGCUAACUACGUG
rnacentral:rRNA from 1 species